rnacentral:rRNA from 1 species
AAUCAACGCUGGCGGCGUGCCUCAGACAUGCAAGUCGAACGAGAACCUCCCUUCGGGGAGGAGACAGUGGCGCACGGGUGAGUAACACGUGGGUAAUUUACCUUUGGGUGGGGAACAACAGCCGGAAACGGCUGCUAAUACCGCAUAAUGCAGCGGCUCGACAUCGAGACAGUUGUUAAAGCGGGGGAUCGCAAGACCUCGCGCCUGAAGAGAAGCCUGCGGCGGAUUAGCUAGUUGGUAGGGUAAUGGCCUACCAAGGCGACGAUCUGUAACCGGCCUGAGAGGGCGGUCGGUCACACUGACACUGACAUACGGGUCAGACUCCUACGGGAGGCA